rnacentral:snoRNA from 1 species
CUAGAAGAUGAAAUAAUUUGCGAUUAACCUAGAUUGGUGGACUCCCUCGCCUGGGUAUCUAUAUCAUUCUAGUGGAUGACAUUCAAUCUUACAUAUUCUGAUA